rnacentral:rRNA from 1 species
UACGUAGGCAGCAAGCGUUGUUCGGAAUUACUGGGCGUAAAGAGUGUGUAGGCGGUGCUCUAAGUCUGGUGUGAAAUCUCCCGGCUUAACUGGGAGGGGGCGCUAGAAACUGGAGUGCUAGAGGAUGGGAGAGGUAAGCGGAAUUUCUGGUGUAGCGGUGAAAUGCGUAGAUAUCAGGAGGAACACCUGUGGUGUAGACAGCUUACUGGACCAUUUCUGACGCUGAGACACGAAAGCGUGGGUAGCAAACAGG